UACGUAGGAGGCGAGCGUUGUCCGGAGUUACUGGGCGUAAAGGGUGCGCAGGCGGCGGUUCGCGUGGAUAGAUGAAAUCUCCUGGCUUACCUGGGAGGAUGGUAUCCAGACGGGAUCGCUUGAGGGUCGGAGAGGGGCGUGGAAUUCCGGGUGGAGCGGUGAAAUGCGCAGAUAUCAGGAGGAACACCGAUGGCGAAGGCAGGUCUCUGGGCCACUACUGACGCUGGAGAAGCGAAAGCAUGGGGAGCGAACAGG
rnacentral:rRNA from 1 species